rnacentral:ncRNA from 14 species
UACCUGGUUGAUCCUGCC